rnacentral:lncRNA from 1 species
GCAAAACCUUACAGAUUUUAUUUCAUUUUACUCGAAAAAAGGAAAGGAAUUAUGAAUAUGUAUAACAAGAGUUUUGAAACCAUAAAAACUUUAAAAUAAAUAAAUGGUUUGGUAUCCCUUUGGAAACUAUUAUGAUGAAUUACAAGAAGGUCCACCUGGUCCUCCAGGCAAUGGAUUUAAAUUAACUUAUGAUGGAAAUUAUGAUAUGCAAAAUAAAAUUUUAAAACACUGUCAACAACCAAUAGACGAAAACGAUGCUGUUACAAAACUUUAUAUUGACGAAAAGCAAAAUGAUUUGAAAAGUUAUAUUAAUAUUAUUGAUAAAAAACUUUUAA